UGUAGUUUUGUCUUGUGUUACCGGCAUUGACAAUGCCCUGUACCCGGUGAAAUGUGAAGUUACUUAGUCUGACGUUAGUGAACGUUAGCUGCUUGUGAAGGAUUUCGCAGAUGAUGUUUAGUCUAAACGCAAGGAAGGUGGCUUGUUUGCUCACUCUUGAUUAAUACAAUAGCGCUUAAUUCAUCCAUUUAACGAGCAGAUUGUAAGUCAAAGUUUGGUGUGAAGACGGUGGCGCCAUUUGAACACCAGUAACCAAGUCUCUGAUUUUGACCCGUGAUAUCUGGUGAGUCCCAAUCCAGGCACAGGGAUGGAUGGAUGGAUGGAUAGAGAGAUGGAUAGAUGGAUAGAGGGAUGGAUGGAUAGAU